UGCGUAGGCGGUCUUUCAAGCCAGAAGUGAAAGGCUACGGCUCAACCGUAGUAAGCUUUUGGAACUGUAAGACUUGAGUGCAGGAGAGGAGAGUGGAAUUCCUAGUGUAGCGGUGAAAUGCGUAGAUAUUAGGAGGAACACCAGUUGCGAAGGCGGCUCUCUGGACUGUAACUGACGCUGAGGCACGAAAGCGUGGGAGCAAACA
rnacentral:rRNA from 1 species